CGCACAAGAACGGGAUGUUUUUCAGUGCGACGUGGAAACAGUGUCCGGAACUGAAAUCGAUUGCUAAUUGUUUCGAACGUUAUCUAAAAAUGUAAUUUACGUUUUAAAAGGUUGCUGUGAUUCCAGCCCGUCCGCUGCGAUGAAAGUUUCUCUGAGCUAACUCCGAUAUUGGUACCGAUAUCAUGGAUGUCCCUUUCCGGUUAAGGCAGUAGCAAACCGUCUGAAGUCCACCGGAGAACGUGCCCAAUAUAUACGAGAUGUUCCAGUUUGUUGGCAUUCGCGAAUUGAUAUUGAAUACUACGUACUACGUACCGGCUUGAGCAAUUAUAUUGGAUUACGUAAAAUGUUUCUGACACUAUUAAUCGAAUACCAAAUAUUAGUCUGAACUCAACCUGCAGUAAACUGCGGAUAAACAUAUUUACGACGGAUAAAACGGCCGAUGGGCUCGACAUCGUAUCCGGCAAUGUAUUAUAUUGGAAUUGAAUUGGUCAAAAAUGAUCU